UUCGGCAAGAAUUUUGGAGACCAACUUCGUAUGAAAAUCAACAGCCGGUGGAGUGUGAGGCCUUCAAGCUCGAAUGGAAAAGGAGGGUGAUAUAUAGACUUAAACGGAGGAGCAAUUCCGCCAGCAAUCCAAGCCAAG